GACGUAGGGGGCCAGCGUUGUUCGGAAUUACUGGGUGUAAAGGGUUCGUAGGCGGUGCGGCAAGUUGGGAGUGAAAUCUCUGGGCUUAACCCAGAGGCUGCUUCCAAAACUGCUGUGCUUGAGUGUGGGAGAGGCGCGUGGAAUUGCAGGUGUAGCGGUGAAAUGCGUAGAUAUCUGCAGGAACACCCGUGGCGAAAGCGGCGCGCUGGAUCACUACUGACGCUGAGGAACGAAAGCUAGGGGAGCAAACAGG
rnacentral:rRNA from 1 species